GGGUUGUGAGGUUAAGCGACUAAGCGUACACGGUGGAUGCCCUGGCAGUCAGAGGCGAUGAAGGGCGUGCUAAUCUGCGAUAAGCGCCGGUAAGGUGAUAUGAACCGUUAUAACCGGCGAUACCCGAAUGGGGAAACCCAGUGUGACUCGUCACACUAUCAUUAACUGAAUCCAUAGGUUAAUGAGGCGAACCGGGGGAACUGAAACAUCUAAGUACCCCGAGGAAAAGAAAUCAACCGAGAUUCCCCCAGUAGCGGCGAGCGAACGGGGAGGAGCCCAGAGCCUGAAUCAGCAUGUGUGUUAGUGGAAGCGUCUGGAAAGGCGCGCGAUACAGGGUGACAGCCCCGUACACAAAAGCGCAUGUGCUGUGAGCUCGAUGAGUAGGGCGGGACACGUGGUAUCCUGUCUGAAUAUGGGGGGACCAUCCUCCAAGGCUAAAUACUCCUGACUGACCGAUAGUGAACCAGUACCGUGAGGGAAAGGCGAAAAGAACCCCGGCGAGGGGAGUGAAAAAGAACCUGAAACCGUGUACGUACAAGCAGUGGGAGCACAGGUUUACCUGUGUGACUGCGUACCUUUUGUAUAAUGGGUCAGCGACUUAUAUUCUGUAGCAAGGUUAACCGUAUAGGGGAGCCGGAGGGAAACCGAGUCUUAAUUGGGCGUUAAGUUGCAGGGUAUAGACCCGAAACCCGGUGAUCUAGCCAUGGGCAGGUUGAAGGUUGGGUAACACUAACUGGAGGACCGAACCGACUAAUGUUGAAAAAUUAGCGGAUGACCUGUGGCUGGGGGUGAAAGGCCAAUCAAACCGGGAGAUAGCUGGUUCUCCCCGAAAGCUAUUUAGGUAGCGCCUCGUGAAUUCAUCUCCGGGGGUAGAGCACUGUUUCGGCUAGGGGGCCAUCCCGGCUUACCAACCCGAUGCAAACUGCGAAUACCGGAGAAUGUUAUCACGGGAGACACACGGCGGGUGCUAACGUCCGUCGUGAAGAGGGAAACAACCCAGACCGCCAGCUAAGGUCCCAAAGUCAUGGUUAAGUGGGAAACGAUGUGGGAAGGCCCAGACAGCCAGGAUGUUGGCUUAGAAGCAGCCAUCAUUUAAAGAAAGCGUAAUAGCUCACUGGUCGAGUCGGCCUGCGCGGAAGAUGUAACGG
rnacentral:rRNA from 1 species